rnacentral:misc_RNA from 2 species
UGUGGGAGGGGGCUUGCCCCCGAUAGCAGUGUGUCAGUCUAUGCAUCUGUGACUGACACUCCCUCAUCGGGGGCAAGCCCCCUCCCACA